AACUACCAGGUAAUGUUAAAUUACAUCACCUUAUGAAAAUGGUGAUAAUGUUAUUUACCAAUGCAUGUAUUUUCUGUAAAAAUUCUGUAUGUACAAAUCUCCAAGAACUGCUGGAGAUUGGUCCACCAGAGGAAGACAGCUGUGGUAAACCUCCCCAGAAGGAUAUCAAGCCCAUGGAAGUGGAUCUACCCCAAGACUAAGAGGAGACCAUGGACCCAUAUAUGGUGCAACAAUUGCAGUGGGACACCACACAGUUUAAAUUCCUUUUUUUUCUCUCAAUGAUGGAUUCCUGAGAACUAAGACAUUCCAGAAUCCAUUCUCACUAGCAGAAGAGCUAGAAUGUCAACAUUUGGAGUCCACAGCCACAUAUUUUUGCUGCUAUGACACAACCCAUCUGGAAACUGUGUUGCACAGCAACAUAACAAGGGAAGUAUUCGUAAGAACCAUUCAUCCAAAAGAUAGCUCCUUUCAGAACUUUGAUCAGCAUUCAGGCCAUAGGGCAGUUCUGCUUUCUUUGCUACCAUCCCAAGUGUAAGGGCCAUCAUCGGACAUCCUGUGCCAACAGUACAUAAGGAGUCUCAUUUUUAAAGUAUUAAAAAACAUCCACCUACAAAUCCUCUCUGUAUGUGUUAGGAAAAACUUGAGGAGCUAGAGAGUAUUGAUUUAUUCUAACAAGCAGUUAAAUUAAUGUUAACAAAGGCUUAUAUCCCUCAAGUGUCCCAAUAAAGGAGAACUUUCUCUG
ensembl:lncRNA